CACACUGGACUGAGACACGGUCCAGACUCCUACGGGAGGCAGCAGUGGGGAAUAUUGCACAAUGGGCGCAAGCCUGAUGCAGCCAUGCCGCGUGUGUGAAGAAGGCCUUCGGGUUGUAAAGCACUUUCAGUCGUGAGGAAGGUAGUGUAGUUAAUAGCUGCAUUAUUUGACGUUAGCGACAGAAGAAGCACCGGCUAACUCCGUGCCAGCAGCCGCGGUAAUACGGAGGGUGCGAGCGUUAAUCGGAAUUACUGGGCGUAAAGCGCAUGCAGGUGGUUUGUUAAGUCAGAUGUGAAAGCCCGGGGCUCAACCUCGGAAUAGCAUUUGAAACUGGCAGACUAGAGUACUGUAGAGGGGGGUAGAAUUUCAGGUGUAGCGGUGAAAUGCGUAGAGAUCUGAAGGAAUACCGGUGGCGAAGGCGGCCCCCUGGACAGAUACUGACACUCAGAUGCGAAAGCGUGGGGAGCAAACAGGAUUAGAUACCCUGGUAGUCCACGCCGUAAACGAUGUCUACUUGGAGGUUGUGGCCUUGAGCCGUGGCUUUCGGAGCUAACGCGUUAAGUAGACCGCCUGGGGAGUACGGUCGCAAGAUUAAAACUCAAAUGAAUUGACGGGGGCCCGCACAAGCGGUGGAGCAUGUGGUUUAAUUCGAUGCAACGCGAAGAACCUUACCUACUCUUGACAUCCAGAGAACUUUCCAGAGAUGGAUUGGUGCCUUCGGGAACUCUGAGACAGGUGCUGCAUGGCUGUCGUCAGCUCGU
rnacentral:rRNA from 3 species